CACUGCUUGGGGCCUUCUGGGUGGCAGCACUUCACAGAGGGAGACAGAGCAGCAGCCUUGAGCCCUUGGCUGUUGGGGGUGGGUGGACUGACUCACUUGGCCCCUUCCCUGGUGCCAAUGGGGCAGCCCCCACACCCAUGGGCGCUGGCACCCCGUCAGGCGCCUGGGUUUCGGAAAAGAAAGCUGCAGCCCCGCGGCGCCUGACCCGAGCUGGCUGAGGAUGCGCUCUGCGCGCAGGGACCCGCUGGCCCCGGGGCCGGGAGGAGAUGUUUAGGCAGCGACCCCCUAGAGCAGGCUCGCUCCCGCGGCCGCCUGCUCUGGCCACCCUGGCCGCGGGCCCGCCGGGACGCCCCUGCUCGCCGCGCCCCUCCCCGGGCCGUGGCGCGUCCCCCGAGUCUCGCAGUAUUUCCUUCCUGCACCUUUAAGAAGACCGUUGCUCCGUGGUGGGAUGGUGUGUUAAAGCCACACAGAGGAAGUUACGCAGCCCGGAUCAGACCGAGAGAUAAAAGCCCCGAUGGUGAUCGUGAGUGAUGGCAAGAGGAUUUAGCCUCGGCAUUAACUUGGAGCGGAGUGCAGGGGGGCCGUGAAGCGCCCCGCCAUCUGGUCCGCGCCGCGCCGGGGGGAUGCCCCGGCGCCCCGACGAGCAGCCGCGAAGCCCACCAGGGCCCGGGGCUGCCCGGUGCACGAGCGCGGGUCUUCUGCGAGCCGCCCAGGGGGGCCAAAAAGUUUGCACUUGUUAGCGGCGACCUCCCGCUCGGCCGGGGCGGGCGAUGCGGGCGGCGCGGGCGGCCCCCUCCCCCGGCCCGCGUCUCCCGGACGGCUGCGGGCGGCCCCCCCGGGCGGCCGGAGGGCUCCCCAGCCCCGAUCUGACGGCCGCGGCGGCGGCGGCGGCGGCCACAGCGGCAGCGGGAGCGCGCGGGGAAGGAGCAGCGGCUCGCAGCCCUCCGGCCCUCGCCCCCACCCAGCGCCAGCCAGAGGGGGGAGGCGGAGCGCCGGCGGGUGGCGGUCUUCGGCCUCCCGGGUCUCCGCUCCGGGAAGCUGCUCCGAGCCGGGGGCUUCGGUGACCACGCAGGCUUCCCCGGGGCCCAGGAGCCACUUAAAGCAGCCCAGCCAAGGCUCGGAUGCAAAAGUUAUGUGGUAGUGGCUGCUACUAGCCAGGACUGGAGCCGCCCCGAGAGGGGCGUGUGAGUGUGCGAUUGUAGCAGCAUCUUAAAGGAGUAGCUUGGUCUUUCUGGCUGGCUUUUUCCUUCCUG
rnacentral:lncRNA from 1 species